rnacentral:rRNA from 1 species
GACCUCAAAUCAGGUAGGACUACCCGCUGAACUUAAGCAUAUCAAUAAGCGGAGGAAAAGAAACUAACAAGGAUUCCCCUAGUAACUGCGAGUGAAGCGGGAAAAGCUCAAAUUUAAAAUCUGGCGGUCUUUGGCCGUCCGAGUUGUAAUCUAGAGAAGUGUUAUCCGCGCUGGACCGUGUACAAGUCUCCUGGAAUGGAGCGUCAUAGAGGGUGAGAAUCCCGUCUUUGACACGGACUGCCAGGGCUUUGUGAUGCGCUCUCAAAGAGUCGAGUUGUUUGGGAAUGCAGCUCAAAAUGGGUGGUAAAUUCCAUCUAAAGCUAAAUAUUGGCGAGAGACCGAUAGCGAACAAGUACCGUGAGGGAAAGAUGAAAAGAACUUUGGAAAGAGAGUUAAACAGUACGUGAAAUUGCUGAAAGGGAAACGCUUGAAGUCAGUCGCGUUGGCCGGGGAUCAACCUUGCUUUUGCUGGGCGUACUUUCCGGUCGACGGGUCAGCAUCAAUUUUGACCGUUGGAUAAAGGCUGAGGGAAUGUGGCUCCUUCGGGAGUGUUAUAACCCUUGGUCGCAUACAACGAUUGGGAUUGAGGAACUCAGCACGCCGCAAGGCCGGGUACUUGUACCACGUUCGUGCUUAGGAUGCUGGCAUAAUGGCUUUAAUCGACCCGUCUUGAAACACGGACCAAGGAGUCUAACAUGCCUGCGAGUGUUUGGGUGGAAAACCCGAGCGCGUAAUGAAAGUGAAAGUUGAGAUCCCUGUCGCGGGGAGCAUCGACGCCCGGACCAGACCUUUUGUGACGGAUCCGCGGUAGAGCAUGUAUGUUGGGACCCGAAAGAUGGUGAACUAUGCCUGAAUAGGGUGAAGCCAGAGGAAACUCUGGUGGAGGCUCGUAGCGAUUCUGACGUGCAAAUCGAUCGUCAAAUUUGGGUAUAGGGGCGAAAGACUAAUCGAACCAUCUAGUAGCUGGUUCCU